GGUGAGUCCUCUCUCUUGCUCUUGCUUGCUUGCACUGAUGAAGUAAGCUGCCACGUUGUGAGAUGCUCAACGAAGAGGCCCAUGAGGCAGGGCACCGAGGGAGGCUUCUGGCCAACAGCUCCUGGGGAACUAAGGCCUUAGGAAGUGAGUCCUGCCAACAAUAAUGAGAGCCUUGAACUUUGAAACCACAGUGCCUUGUUCCAGCGUGGAAAGCAGCGUGGCACUUCCCGGUGGUGAAAGCACCCCAGCUCGAAAGGGUAAAAACACCUUCUCCCAGAUAGUGUCCCUUUGUUUAGCCAGUGCUUUUUGCCAGUGGUCACCUUAAGGAAAUCAAAUGAAGGGGUCAGCCAGGAGUGGAUCUGGAAGCUGGAGAACUCUCAAUACGCCACUUCAGUUUAUUGACGACAUUUAUAAUUGCAACCGAAGUUGACUGAUUUCUGCUAAAUGAAAGUUUGCGCUUUGCGCUUUAGCAUUGAGGCUCCUGGAAAGAACUUCAAUGAAAUUGGAUGCAUUGAGACCAAAGAAAAGAAGGGGACAUUUUUAUCUCUCUGAUACCUUUCUCCCCAAGGCUUGGAAACACUUCUUAAACACAACCUCUGAUGUUGGUGUUUUAUUUGAGGCUUAAGCAACUUCUUCUGGGGAAGAGUGCCAGUGCAGCCACUGUUACAAUUCAAGAUCUUGAUCUAUAUCUAUAGAUUGGAAUAU
rnacentral:sRNA from 1 species